AGUCGAGCGGUACAGAAAGUAACUUGUUUCUUUGCUGACGAGCGGCGGACGGGUGAGUAAUGCCUAGGGAUCUGCCCAGUCGAGGGGGAUAACAGUUGGAAACGACUGCUAAUACCGCAUACGCCCUACGGGGGAAAGGAGGGGACCUUCGGGCCUUUCGCGAUUGGAUGAACCUAGGUGGGAUUAGCUAGUUGGUGAGGUAAUGGCUCACCAAGGCGACGAUCCCUAGCUGUUCUGAGAGGAUGAUCAGCCACACUGGGACUGAGACACGGCCCAGACUCCUACGGGAGGCAGCAGUGGGGAAUAUUGCACAAUGGGGGAAACCCUGAUGCAGCCAUGCCGCGUGUGUGAAGAAGGCCUUCGGGUUGUAAAGCACUUUCAGUUGUGAGGAAAGGGUGUUGCUUAAUACGUAACAUCUGUGACGUUAGCAACAGAAGAAGGACCGGCUAACUCCGUGCCAGCAGCCGCGGUAAUACGGAGGGUCCGAGCGUUAAUCGGAAUUACUGGGCGUAAAGCGUGCGCAGGCGGUUUGUUAAGCCAGAUGUGAAAGCCCCGGGCUCAACCUGGGAAUUGCAUUUGGAACUGGCGAACUAGAGUCU
rnacentral:rRNA from 1 species